rnacentral:rRNA from 1 species
AUUGAACGCUGGCGGAAUGCUUUACACAUGCAAGUCGAACGGUAAGGCCCUUCGGGGUACACGAGUGGCGAACGGGUGAGUAACACGUGGGUGAUCUGCCCUGCACUUCGGGAUAAGCCUGGGAAACUGGGUCUAAUACCGGAUAGGACCACUGCCUGCAUGGGUGGUGGUGGAAAGCUUUUGCGGUGUGGGAUGGGCCCGCGGCCUAUCAGCUUGUUGGUGGGGUGAUGGCCUACCAAGGCGACGACGGGUAGCCGGCCUGAGAGGGUGACCGGCCACACUGGGACUGAGAUACGGCCCAGACUCCGACGGGAGGCAGCAGUGGGGAAUAUUGCACAAUGGGCGCAAGCCUGAUGCAGCGACGCCGCGUGAGGGAUGACGGCCUUCGGGUUGUAAACCUCUUUCAGUAGGGACGAAGCGCAAGUGACGGUACCUACAGAAGAAGGACCGGCCAACUACGUGCCAGCCGCCGCCGUAA